rnacentral:lncRNA from 1 species
ACAUAGGACAGGGGUCGUGUUCUCCGGCUCCUCCGGUUGCUUCGCCUCUCGGAUCCUCUGCUCUUUCCCCUCCGGCAGCUACACCAAUUACAACACAACAUCAGGGACAAGGAAAAAAUGCAUGCGUAUAAUGAAAGCAACAUUUCCAUCAGUUCUACUAAUUGGUCACCAACUUCCUGGAAAUAUGAGAUAACUGAAGGAAAUACAAAUAUAGGCUAUCCUAGGCGGCAAAGUGUUUGGCAUGUCGUCAUUUGAUGCCAGUUGGCACAAGCCAUUUAUUUUAACCGGGUUAUUUGUGUAACAAGGCAUUUUUUGUAUAGCUAAGGUUUUAUAUAGCAUUUAGUAGGACCGAGUAGAACAUACCUUAAACGCAGCAACGUCGAUCAACAGCAGGAACAAACCACACAGAUACAUGCUAUUUCCUUGAUCACAGUAGCCAACCUUCACAUCACCUGCAAGAUAAACAUUAAAAUAUGGGUCCAUAAAUCAACAUGGGUUUACGGCCUAUAUGCAUCCACACACACUCGUUAGAAAAGCAGAGAUAACUAAUUAGUAAUUACUCCUCUUAACUUCUGUAGAACAUAACAAACAAGAGCUAAAAAUUGAUCCAGUAGAACCUAACACCAGCUCAUAAUAUGUCAAGUACAGAAGCAAUUCCUUUGAACAAAACACAUAAGAAAAAAAGAGCAAAAGAAAAGAAAGUGUAAGUCUAUCGAUGAUCCAACAUAGACAUAUGUUUUUGUCACUAAAUCUGCUGCAACACACUAAUAUGCAAGAAUAGCGGAUACACAAAGCCAUCUCAUACCAAGUGAAGAUAAUAUGCCAAGUAGGGAGCAACCAGCGGUGCUACACAUGCAGCAAGCUUUGCCCGUCU